ensembl:lncRNA
AGCAUAUGGAGGUUCCCAGGCUAAUGGUCAAAUCAGAGCUGUAGCUGCCAGCCUACACCACAGUCACAGCAAUGCCAGAUCCGAGCCACAUCUGCAACCUACACCACAGUUUAUGGCAAUGCCAGAUCCUUAACCCACUGAGCGAGGCCAGGGAUGGAACCCGCAUCCUCAUGGUUCCUAGCCAGCGUGGCUGGAAAAUGGUGUUAAGAGGUGCAGUUGCAGAGGCAAUGUGGUCUGGGAUCACUGGGGACCUUGUGGGCUAUGAUACAGACUUCCACUCAGAGUGAUGGGGCAGCCACCAGAGGUUUUCAGAAGGGCAGUGGUGCAGUCUACUUUAUGUCGUAACAGGCUCCCCGUGGCUGCCGGGCUGAGAAUAAAUUGGAGGGAGACAAGGGCAGAAGCAAGGACACUAGUUAGGAGGCUAUUGAAAUAAUUCAGGAAAAACCUAAAAGGAGGUUACUGUCAUCCUUCUGGCUUCAACGACUCCUUGGAGUUGGCCAAACUCUAGGCAGAUGCGGGAAAGGGAGCCGAAAAGAUAACCUGACUGACUGGCUUAUCGGAUGGGAGUUGAAGGGUCCAAAUGACUCCACGUUCUUCCCCCAAAAGAAAGACUGUGGAAAGAACAAGCUGGCAGGAACACCAGGGGCUAAGUUUUGGAUUAUUGAUUUUUAGAGAUUCCAUAGACUUUUCCAAGGCUGCCCGAACAUCGGUCCUGGGUUUUGAAGGGUCCAGAAUCCACCAAAGUCUCUUGAAUCUUCCUUGUAUGUCUUGCCACCACCAACCCCCCUAGCUCAGGCAUCUCCCUCUGUUACAAGAAGGUGGGGACGAGAAAAAUCAACUCUCUGCCUUGCUCCUCCAAUUCAUUCUGUCUCUCCUCACAAACUCCCCACUUAUCUCCCCAUGAAUCACCCAAGAUCUCCUAAGAGCAUAUACCUUUGGGGAGAAACUCCACAAAGACUCCCAGGCACUUUGACUAGCGGCCCACAGCUUGUUUCUCUGGAGGAAAUGAGGUACGUCCCUCCAAAUAGUCUCUAGACACGUUAAUAUUACUUAGCACGCAUUAAGGGUAUCGUCUAUUCCAGGCCUGCACAUUAUUUUAUUUAAUUAUCUCUAUAAAUCCUUGCUUGUGUUCUGAUAGUGGUGCUUAUGACUGUGAGUUUUGGAAAUUUUCCUACUGGUUAAAUCUCAGCUUCCUAGAUUGUUAAGUGGAUGGUAUGUAUGUUUUACUGCUAAGAGGAUUCUUGGCGUUGGCACGAGAAUGAUAGAGGUGGCUGGGUCCAAAGCACCAGCAGAGAACUUAGCACUUUGUAGAUGCUUCUCAAAUGUUAAUCCUCUAGCUUAUUUCUGGCAAAAGGUAUCUUUUUAUUUAUUUUUUGAUCGACAGUAUUUUAUUUUUUUAAAUUUAUUUCUUAUGAGGGUAUAGUUGAUUUUCAGUGUCAAGUCAAUGUCUACUGCAUAGCAUACCCAGUCACACAUAUAUACCUAUACAUUCUUUUUCUCCUACUAUCCUCCAUCAUGGUCUACCCCUAGAGACGGGAUAUAGUCCCCUGUGCUGUACAGUAGGACUUCACUGCUCAUCCAUUCUCAGUGAAAAGUCAUAUUGUAAGUGAAAUAUUACAUGGAUAUCAUUUUUAAUUAAUCAAGAGGUGAUAACAGAAAAUGAAUUUUCAACACCCUUAUUAUAUCAGGAUGGUUUGAGAAACAAAAGAUAGCCAACAUCAGGAAAGGUCAUGUGAUGGGACAGUUUAACAUAAUGGUCCAGAGAAGGCGGCAGUCAGUCUCAGACAGACAGAAUGGGUAUGGCUGAGGUACGUGAGUAGAACAUGAAGGACUUCUGGACACAGGGCAUUGAGGGAGUCAACAUGUGGAAAGGGAAUGGGGGAUGUUGCUUGGGGAACAGUGGAUAGACCAAUCUGACUCAACGGGUCUUUUCAAAGAAGGGAGCAGUGGGACUUGAGGUUUAGGAACAAUAAGAGGAACAAAGUAAUUGUUGGCAUCUAGUGCCAAAGGUAAGGAUGGGCACUUUCCUUAAUGGGCAAUAGAGUAGUUAUCAAAAGCUCUUGAAUCAAAUAUUAAUAAUCAUUUAUAUAACACAUAUGUUAAUAAUCAUUUAUAGAAUAUAUAUAAAUAUGUAUCUACAGUAACCGCCAUGCUCAAAAUUCUGCAUUAAUUAUGCCAAGAGGCAUCAUGAGGGUUUAACUCGGCUAUGAUAGUCAGUUUGAUUAGAUGAGGAAAAGACUGGAAACAGAGAUCCCAGUCAAGAAACAAAUAGUACAAGAGAUGAGGUUUGAUAUGAUCAGGGCUGAGCUAGGAUGCUGACAUGGGCCAUUAAAAUGGGAAGAGGAGUUCCCUGGUGGCCCAGUGGUUAAAAGAUCCAGCACUGUUACUGUCACUGCCAUGGCUUGGGUCAUUGCUGUGAUGCAGGUUGUAUCUCUGGCUAGGGAACUUCUGCAUGCUGCCAGCACGGCCAAACAGACAAACAACAGCAAAAGAACAAAAAACACCCAAACAAACAAACAGAAAAAGGAAAGAACAGCUGUUAAAGGCACCAAAGAGCAAGAUGCGCCAGCAUCUGUAGGGUGACUGGAUGUGAUGGGAGAGAAACGGAAAAGGAGAGUCGGAGUUUGUUUCGAGGUGCCCAGUUGGAGUUACUGAGAGGACUGUAAUUCCAUGGACAGAAAAAGGGAAGUUAGAAUAAAUGCUGGCUUGGCGAGGGAGGUAACAAACUCUUUUUGAGAUAAUAGCUGUCUGUUAUAGAUGACAAUUUGGAAGGAGAAAGAGUUGUCUUUCUAUCCCUACACUGAAUAUUUCCAGUUGGAUAGGAAAGAAUGGCUUACAAAUUAACUAGGAAAAAAAAUCUAUAUUAUUUGGUUUGAUUACAAUUUAAAAUUAGAAUUUGUAGGAGUUCCCUGGUGGUUCAAUGAGUUCAGGAUCCAGCCCUGAUAUGGCUGUGGCUCUGGUAACUGCUGUGGUGUGGGUUCGACCCCUGGCUGUGGAACUUCUGCAUGCCUCUAGGUGUGGCAAAAAAUUAGGAUUUGUAUUGUUACCUAAACUUAUGAUUUUAAUGCAGUACAUUUAUUUGCAAAGCACAUUCUACCACCUCCUAAAUUUUAGCAAGUCAUACUAAUCUCAGAUGAUGGGUACGGGGUCUAAGAAAUGCCAGUGCAAUAUCGAUCGCCCCUCCCGCUCGCCAGCACCUCUGUCUUUCAGACCUGCCCAGUCAGUAUCAUGUGCUUUAAACAUGCAGACAUUUAAUGGAACCAUAAAAACCCUUGGGGAGGGAUCCUGAGAAUCUCGUGGGAGCUGGAGGAAACCACAGUGACUACCGAGGGUUGGUCCACACCAGCAGCUUUGUGCUUUCGUUUUGUAGGUUCAUGUUUUUGUUCUGGGUCCAGAUGGGCUUCUGUGAUAGAAUCCCUUCCUAAGCAGAUCCCAUUUGACUGAUUACGGCUUUCCUUCUGCAUGGCUCCCCCUCCUUAUUCAUGGCCUCUGUCUGUUUCUGCUUCCACUCUGCCAAACUGCAGGGUUUUUAUUAGCCCAAACUCCCCCGACUGCGGUCCCACCCUCUACACAUGCCUGCUGCACGGUUCCGUUAUUACUUUUCCAACAGAGAAACAGCCUUGACGGAGAUGCUUAGGCCUCCUUCAAAGGGAGGGAGGAAAAGAAAGAUAAAGGGAAUACAAAUCUUUACCCCUUUCAGAGGCAUUUUCACAGCUUUUAAAAAAUCUUUAAAAACCAAGCCUUCUCUUGACGUAUGCAUAGCAUUCGGCUUUGUCCUUUACAUUUUCGCUGAAAAACCAUAGAGAGCAAAACAUACUUGCCUCCUGUUAUCUUUGCCUCUUUAGCUUCUCCAAGAAGUCCGGGUAUAAAUAAAUUACCCAAUAAUUUUAGGACCGGGAGCGUAUUGAGUUUGUUAUAAGUGGCAACAGGUGGAAACAUGUUAUAGCAAUUGAACUGGGUACAACCAUGCCCUUUACAGUUCUAAUGUAAAUUCCAUAUGCAUAUGUGAUCAUUUUAAAACGUGGUGGAAUUUUUGAGUGUCUCAGAGGCAGCUUGAGAGAAGAGAUGAAUUACGUGCUUUAUGAUGUUUUUCAAAAGAUAAAGUUCAGCCCUCAUUUGAUUUGGAAGGAAGGAUGAGAUGGAGAAAAGACGAAGUGUUUUGCAGCUUCAUGGUCCUAUGACUUAGAAAUGCCAUGCAAUGCGGAUCUAAACGCUUUACUGAAAUGAUUCCACGUUUUCAGGUUGGUUAACUUGGGCUGAAGAGCUUUUCGUUGUUGUUGUUGGAGGCUGCCUUCCCCCUUUCCCUGGGAUUCUAGGGCCAGAUGUAAAAAGAAAACUAAGCUCAGAAUUAGGAUAUAAAAGGGAAAAAAUGCAGAUAGGUUUCUGGCACCAGCUGCCUCAGAAACGCAGGCCAGGGAGCGCUUUGCAUUUUGUUCAAAAUAGUUGGAAGUGGACCGAAAUUGCAGAGAUGCCUACCUCUGGGAACCAAAGCACCAGGCAAAGGAAUCUGCCAGUCCUCGGGAAAGGCGGUGCUAGGAGCCAACAAUGUUUUGCCCGUGGAAAGGCGCAGGGCUGUUCAGAGCUGCCCACACACACCGCCGGCUCCCACACACGCCCCUGCAAACUCUUCCAAGACCUGAGCAGAAUCAAAACCGUGCAGGGCCCUUUUCUUUGGCAGAGUUGAAAACACAAGAUGAGGUGCUUUCCAGCUUUGUGGAUGCGGCGGCGCUUGGCGAUUUAUCUCUGAUCUCAGAUUUGGAAUAGGCUCAUCUUUUGAACGGAGGGCAUAAACCGCGUGUCCUGUCUGAAGUGGGAGGGCCGAGGACUGAGGCUAAGGGCCUAAGCGAGCAAGAAAAAAGAGGGCUGUCUCGGUGGCUUGGCUGGGAUCGAAUUUGCACAGGGACCUCGAGAGAAAGUCAUCUCCCGUGCCUCGGUUUCCUGGUGUGCAAGGUCACUGGCUUCUCUGAAAGCCGCGCGGGGAAUAACGCCCGGCUUACAUUUCCCCUCCAUUUGUUGUUUAUUUUUGCUUCCUGUUUGCUCCUUCCCCCAGCCUCUGAGCCUGACUUUCAGAGUUUAUUUUGGGGAGGAAAACAAGGAACCACAUGAAACAAAAGGAUGAGGGAAAGGUGUGGUGCCAAGUUUCGAACCCACUCAACCUCGUGGGUUGGGAGUUUCAAGCAACCUCCUGCCUCCCCAGCUCUCUGUUUGUUUGUUCUUGGCCAAAUGCAGCUUCCUGUUUUUAAGAAAGACAGCUUCUAAAAAUGCUUGAAAGGACUUCUUGGACAUCAAAACACCCCUCCCAAACAAUAUUUGGAUGAUUUAUCAUGUAAAUGAGUCAAAACACUUGUGAGCAACAUUUCCUAUAAAGUAUGUGUGGGUUGUAAAAAUUAAGGGGAUAGUGCUUAGCGAAACAUACUUGGGUUACAGAAGAUCAAAAGCCCUGGGAAACCAGUUUGAGAUGUUUGCUGAAUCUAAAAGGAGGCCAAUCUAACCACUCGCAGCUGAAAUGCAAGCAAACAAUUCAUUAUUUUGAAGAGCCCAUGGAUGUGAUUCCACCCCAUCUCCGGCUUGGGACUCCUGUGGCAAAUCAUCUCCUUGAAGGGACCGGACGAUUGCUCAUGAGUAAUCUGGGGACCGGAGCUCCAGGCUACCUGUGCAGGUGGAGGAAUGACUCAGGUCCAGGCACCUCAGCCUCCAGGCUCACGUGUCCUCCGGCUCAAGGGGGCCGUGUCCAGAGGUACAGUCUUCUCAUCAC